AUUGAACGCUGGCGGCAGGCCUAACACAUGCAAGUCGAGCGGAGCGGCGGACGGGUGAGUAAUGCCUAGGAAUCUGCCUGGUAGUGGGGGAUAAGGUCCGGAAACGGGCGCUAAUUGCGCAUACUAUCAGAUGAGUCUAGGUCGGAUUAGCUAGUUGGUGGGGUAAAGGCCUACCAGGGCGACGAUCCGAAGCUGGUUCGAGAGGAUGAUCAGUCACACUGGAACGGAGACACGGUCCAGACUCCUACGGGAGGCAGCAGGGGGAAAUAUUGGACAAUGGGCGAAAGCCUGAUCCAGCAAUGCCGCGGGUGUGAAGAAGGUCUUCGGAUUGUAAAGCACUUUAAGUUGGGAGGCGUUACCAACAUAAUAAGCACCGGCUAACUUCGUGCCAGCAGCCGCGGUAAUUC
rnacentral:rRNA from 1 species